rnacentral:rRNA from 1 species
UGCCAGCCGCCGCGGUUAUACGUAGGGAAUGAAUAAAUAAUAUUGGUUUAAUACGUUAAUUUUUUUUAUUUCUUUAUUCAUAUAAUUUUUAGGUGAAAUUUUAAUUGUAUAAUAAGAGUUUAUAGAUGAAGCUAUGAAAUUUAUUUUAUAAACAAGGAUUAGAUACCCUUUUAUUAUAAAUGUAAAUAUAAACCAGGGUAGUAAUAGUUAUGUUCUUGAAACCCAAAGGAUUUGGCGGUAUUUCA